CCCUUAGAUGUCCUGGGCCGCACGCGCGUUACACUGAUGCAUUCAACGAGCUUAUAUCCUUGGCCGAGAGGCCUGGGCAAUCUUGUUAACGUGCAUCGUGAUAGGGAUAGAUUAUUGAAAUUAUUAAUCUUGAACGAGGAAUUCCUAGUAAACGCAGAUCAUCAAUCUGCAUUGAUUACGUCCCUGCCCUUUGUACACACCGCCCGUCGCACCUACCGAUUGGAUGGUCCGGUGAAGCCUCGGGAUUGUGGUUCUUGCCGCUUUAUUGUGGCGUGACCGCGAGAACUUGUCUAAACCUUAUCAUCUAGAGGAAGGUGAAGUCGUAACA
rnacentral:rRNA from 1 species